CAACCUUCCGCACACUCAGGGAUAGCCUUUCGAAAGAAAGAUUAAUACCUGAUGGUAUGAUGAGAUUGCAUGAUAGCAUCAUUAAAGAUUCAUCGGUGAUGGAUGGGGAUGCGUCCGAUUAGCUUGUUGGCGGGGUAACGGCCCACCAAGGCAACGAUCGGUAGGGGUUCUGAGAGGAAGGUCCCCCACAUUGGAACUGGAACACGGUCCAAACUCCUACGGGAGGCAGCAGUGAGGAAUAUUGGUCAAUGGGCGAGAGCCUGAACCAGCCAAGUAGCGUGCAGGAUGACGGCCCUAUGGGUUGUAAACUGCUUUUAUAAGGGAAUAAAGUGGGGCUCGUGAGCUCCUUUGCAUGUACCUUAUGAAUAAGGACCGGCUAAUUCCGUGCCAGCAGCCGCGGUAAUACGGAAGGUCCGGGCGUUAUCCGGAUUUAUUGGGUUUAAAGGGAGCGUAGGCCGCAGGUUAAGCGUGUUGUGAAAUGUAGGGGCUCAACCUCUGCACUGCAGCGCGAACUGGCUUGCUUGAGUACGCGCAACGUGGGCGGAAUUCGUGGUGUAGCGGUGAAAUGCAUAGAUAUCACGAAGAACUCCGANUG
rnacentral:rRNA from 1 species